ensembl:lncRNA
GCCACCGCCGCCCGAGCCCGCCGCCCGCACGCCCGGGCCCCGCAGGCCGCCGCCCCCCGCGCCGCGCCCCCAGCGGAGCAGAGCCGCCGCUGCCCGGCCCACGGACCCGCUCAUUCCCGCGCGCUCGCCGGAGCCCUCGACAGCCCGGGAUCUCCGCUCGCCUCCCGGAGCCUUCCCCGGCCCGCCCCCCGGGGGUCCUCAUUGGGUGGCUCCGAACUGCGCUCCGUGAUUGGAGGACACUGGCCCGCAAUUACUCUCUUCUACCAAUCACGUUCCUCAUCCCGCCCACACAGGUUAGAGGCGGCCCUUACGCCCGACCGCAUCUUUCAGCCUUACUAUUGGCCGUCGGCAAACACGGCUUCAGUUGAUUGGAGAGAGUGGGUGUCCGUCAGGGUCACGCUCCGAGGCAAGGAGAGGCGAAACGAGGGGUAAGACGACUUCCCUCCGGCGGGUAGACGGGCCUGCUGGGAUACUCCAGGAUGACUGGGAAAGGCACGGGGCGGGGUCUCGCCGUCCGCAGAACGCCGGAAACGGAGUCCUUCCAGACGACUUCCGGUUCCGGUGUAGGCGGUGGUUGAGUUGCCAUGGCAGCGCGGUUGGCAGGAGCCUGGUUGUUGCAUCAGGGCGGUGGCCGGCCUGGAGCAGGCCUGGGCCUGGCUUUCCCAGCUUAGGUUCCUUGAUUCCAGAUAAAUCAGAGGAACAAGCUUCAUGAACAAAAAUAUAUUGGGAAUGCUGUGGCACUGCAGCGUGACUGUUGUUUCGGAAGUCUAACAUCUGGCACGCUUAACAGCUGAGAAUAUAUUAUUUCCGAAAGCACCUAGCUUUUACUCAUGCUUAUAGUAUAGUAAGUUCUUUUUUUUUUUGUUUGAGGAAGAUUAGCCCUGAUCUAACAUCUGCUGCCAAUCCUGCUCUUUUUGCUGAGGAAGCCUGGCCCUGAGCUAACAUAUGUGCCCAUCUUCCUCUACUUUAUAUGCGGAUGCCGCCACAGCGUGGCUUGCCAAGCAGUGCCAUCUCCGCACCUGGGAUCCGAACUGACGAACCCCGGGCCACUGAAGCGGAAUGUGCGCACUUAACCGCUGUGCUGUGCCACUGGGCCGGCCCCCUAAGGGAGAGGAAUUCGCAGACUUGUGUUGUGAGGACCCGGAGCGGUCCUGAGGAGUUGCAGAGCUCCUCCCUAGUGUGUAGUCCUGGCUUCGGAGGCAUAGUUGUCAACUGUUAUUGUUAAUAAGUUGAGAGUACAGCUGUCAUCAGAGAUUAAGGGUAACCCUCGAGCAGGAAGAGUACAAAGCGUGUGUUUUUCAAAAUUCCGGGAGAGUGCUGCCUACCACGGAGCGUGGCGAGAACAUGCAUGAAGUGUCAGGAUGUGGGAAAGCAUGUCGGCUCUCUUCCAGGGACCUCAGUGAUGGUUCGAGCAAAGGCAGGAAGACCAAUCAUGUAUCUGAACCGAAGAAACUGAAACAGUACAUCAAAAUUUAGGUGUUUAAUAAAAAUAUAAAACGUGAUCUCUGUUGAACAUAUUCCUUUGUCUUUGAUUUAGAACUAUUCUUGCAGUAUUGCGUCAGACAUCAGUGAUUUGAAGCAGCAAAGAAAAUAGUAUUUGAAAUAUUUCUUCCAAACCACAUGAUUCGGGCAUUUUAUAUGAUUUGGCCUUUUAGUUUUGAGGUUUCUCUUUAGAAAUUCUGUAAUGAAAACAUGACAAAAAUAUACUUCUUAAAUAAACAAUUGUCAAAAACUAUACUUAUGCUCAAAUGUAUUUGGGUGUUUAGAACACGUACGUAGAUAAUCUAUGUCAGUGUGUGAUCUCUCCCUCGUGGACAUUACUGAGGGGGUGCGGGUGGGAAGUACACAGAAACUUAUGAGAAGCCUGGGAUUUUGGUCACAAAAUGUAAUUAGACCCCAAACUAAAUAAUCAGGCCAUGUAAACAUGCUGACUCGGGCAUCCUAAAAAUGUUUUUCUUUCCUGUGCUUAUUGACAGAUAAAGCUUUAUUGAUUUGAUAAAAUUUCUCUUCCACCCACUCCUCCAAAAGCAAAUUCACGCUUGAAUCCAUAGUUACGAACCUCACACAUUGGAGAUCGUUUCUUCCUAUGUCUCAGCCCUAAACGAAGAGGCGGGGUCGCUGAAGCUAAGAGGGCGCUUUCCUUCCUGACUUCAGUCUCCAAGUCUGUGCUGCGUUCUGACAAAAGGACUGAACUCCUUGGCUCUGGCCCUUUAAAACCAGACAUCUGCUGGACUUCGCUCUAUUGAGAACAUUAUUUUAUUCUGAAAGAAAGAACCCAAAUCCUGUCCCUCUAAGGUAACAUUAAGAAUUAAGUGGU